rnacentral:tRNA from 1 species
GCCGGAGUGGCGAAAUUGGCAGACGCGCAGGUUUUAGGAACCUGUGGUAGUAAUACCUUGGAGGUUCAAGUCCUCUCUCCGGCA